CCUAACUAACUCCACUGAUUUCAUACAUGAGUCUGUAUGCUCAGCCAUAAGAAAAGAUGAAUACUUCUCUCUUACAUCGACCUGGAUAGAACCGGAGGGUAUUAUGGUGAAUGAAAUCAGUCAUUAGAAAGACAAUUAUCAUCUGAGCACAGGGUCAUAGUCCACACAGAGUUAUGAAAAUAGCAACUCCCUCUCAAGCUCCUCGGGCACCGAGCCCCCACAGAACAGUCUCAACAUGCUCUCUCCUGGAGAAAGGUACAUGGAUUGCUGCAGCCAACUGGUCUACCAGGAGUUUCUCAGCUGCUGUUCCUGGACACACACCUAUCCUUCCCAAGUUGCCAUGGCCACAUCGUGUGGCACUGCUCGGCUGGCUCCAUUGAUGGCACAGAAAAAUUUGACAUGUUUACAAAACCCAGGAGGUCAGAUGUCGACUACGCAGUGCGGUCUAAACUCAGUGGAGCCCAAAGAAGGAACCUCAAGAAAGCUAAAUCUGGCAAAGAAAUCCUAUUUUGGACUAAUUUAAGGAUUUUAAAUCAAGUAUUACAAACUCAA